GUCCUAGCCGUAAACGAUGGGCACUAACUUGAGGUCUCCCUGUGGGAUCUCAGGUGUAGCAAAUGUGAUAAGUGCCCCGCCUGGGGAGUAUGGUCGCAAGGCUAAAACUCAAAGGAAUUGACGGGGGCUCACACAAGCGGUGGAGCAUGUGGUUUAAUUCGAUGCAACGCGAAGAACCUUACCCAGGCUUGACAUGCUGGGAUUACCUCGGUGAAAGCUGAGGGAUUGCCUUCGGGUGUAACCAGCACAGGUGUUGCAUGGCUGUCGU
rnacentral:rRNA from 1 species